AUACCCGAAGGUUGACUUCGGACGGACUAUCAGUGGCGGGGUUUUCCCCCUCACGAUUUGAUCGGUCCUUCGAUUCUCAAGAACCCCUUAUUAUGCUUUAGUCCAACCUUCAUGUGUGUCUUCCUAGCUGAAGAGCCUCUACGCGAUUAACAGCCUACCGCAGGUUUCUUUUUGUCUUCCGGCAGCCGCGUACCGCAUUCCGGUGGGAGGUAUUUCCCUCCCCUUUGGUCUGCGGAAGCUAUCGAUUUCAACAAACUUUUCCAAUAGAGUGUCGUUAAACUGAUACGCGGUGAAGAAGUGCUUCGCAAUUAUACAAUGCCGGGGGUUGCCAGAGAGAACACGGCGCUGACCCUCAACCGAAAGUUGCCAAAGUGCCUUCAGUCAGGGAGUGCCUUGGUAGGUUCCUCGUUUUCCUACGCGAAUGCACGUCAACACAGGUGAGAGUGAAACUCCAGAGAUGGUGGAUGGCUUCAAUUUUAAUCUAAGUUUUUAGAGCGUCGGUGCUGCCCGGGGCGUGGUUCAGAUGCCAAAAGUUGGCAGAACAAAAACCGCUUCUGGCUCAGACCCCCAGUUACCAUCACUUGUGUAUCGUCG
rnacentral:lncRNA from 1 species